GAUCAUCUUUUGAUUUUUAUAUCUAUUUCUCAAAAAUAUGAUGAUCAUCUACAUUUCUAUUAAUUUCCAUUUCGCAUUUGCCCCAU
ensembl:ncRNA C05A2.3 ncRNA